GGUAGCCGGCCUGAGUAGGGCGACCGGCCACACUGGGACUGAGACACGGCCCAGACUCCUACGGGAGGCAGCAGUGGGGAAUAUUGCGCAAUGGGCGAAAGCCUGACGCAGCRACGCCGCGUGAGGGAUGACGGCCUUCGGGUUGUAAACCUCUUUCAGCAGGGACGAAGCGAAAGUGACUGUACCUGCAGAAGAAGCGCCGGCUAACUACGUGCCAGCAGCCGCGGUAAUACGUAGGGCGCAAGCGUUGUCCGGAUUUAUUGGGCGUAAAGAGUUCGUAGGCGGUYUGUCGCGUCGGAAGUGAAAACCCGGAGCUCAACUCCGGGCCUGCUUUCGAUACGGGCAGACUUGAGUGUUGCAGGGGA
rnacentral:rRNA from 1 species